rnacentral:RNase_P_RNA from 1 species
UGAGUAAGCUGGACAAUCGCGCCCGGUAUGCCGAAAGGUUCCCGGGUGAGGAAAGUCCGGGCUCCAUAGGGCAAGGAUAACGGAUAACGUCCGCCGAAGGCAACUUCAGGAAAAGUGCAACAGAGAUAUACCGCCGGGGCUUCGCCCCGGUAAGGGUGGAAAGGCGAGGUAAGAGCUCACCGGCUUCCCUGGAAACUUGGAAGCCCUGUAAACUCUAUCCGGAGCAACACCGCAGUGGGGAGUCCGCGAAAGCGGAGACUUGCCCGGUCAAUUCCCCCAGGGUGGCAUGGACAUGUGCGGCAACGUACAUGCAAGAUAGAUGAUUGUCCACGACAGAACCCGGCUUACAGGCUUACUCACAAC